CCCGGCAUGGCUCAGUGGUUGAGCAUCGAACUAUGAACCCGGAGGUCAUGGUUCGAUUCCUGGUCACGGCA
rfam:Myotis brandtii contig211095, whole genome shotgun sequence.